UGAGGGAAAGUUGCAAAGAACUUUGAAGAGAGAGUUCAAGAGUACGUGAAACUGCUCAGAGGUAAACGGGUGGGCCCUCGAAAUCCCCCUGCGGGGAGAUUCAGUCGGGAGGGCGCGGGCAGGCCCGAGGAAUGAGGGGGACGGACGGGUGACUCCUCCGUUCCCCGGGCAUGGAGAGUCCCUCGUCCAGCCCGACGCACUUCUCCCCGCACCGAGGACGCCGCAGCCCAUCGGCGACGGGCCGCAAGGUCGAGCCACGGCAGGUGGCGGGAUGUGGCUAAACCCUUCAUACGAAGGUCCCGGCCCCCCCGUCGUUAAGCCAGCUCGUCCGGCGCGCCGCCGUCGAUGGAGGAGCACUUCGCCUCUCCCCUGCGGGGGUUGGGCGACCGCAGCCGUCCCCUCGGCCUGCGCCGAGCGGGAGUCCACCGCGGGCGCCACAGAGCUUCCCGCCGCUCUCACCGCUGACGGUGAACGACGGAUGGCACGCGCCCAUGCCGCGGCGGGUCCCCAGAAUCAGAGGGACACUACGGCUGGCGGCGAGUAUGUCGGUAACCCACCCGACCCGUCUUGAAACACGGACCAAGGAGUCCGACGCGCGCGCGAGUCCCCGGGUCUUGCCCAGGCUCGAGGGCGCAGUGAAAGCGAAGGUCGGCCACAGCCACCGACCGCGCCGGGAUCCGAGGGGAGCGAUCUCCUCGGCGCACCGGCGGCCCGGCCCGUCCGGCCUCCCCUACUGCCGGGGGAGGUUCGGUCGGUCGGAGCGAGAGCGCGCGCGCCGGUACCCGAAAGAUGGUGAACUAUGCGUGGGCAGGGCGAAGCCAGGGUAAAUCCUGGUGGAGGCCCGAAGCGGUUCUGACGUGCAAAUCGAUCGUCGGACCCGCG
rnacentral:rRNA from 1 species